rnacentral:rRNA from 1 species
GUUGACGUUUCCAUUUCCGCCACUCCACAGUCCACACCGAAAUCAGAUCCAAAUCCCACCACACCAAUCCAUCCGCCCCCAUCUCCAUCCCCGUCGCCCGAUCCGAUCCGGUCCGGUCCCUCGCCAUGGCACCGUCGUUCUGGGGCCCCGAGUUCCCCCCGCAGCCGGCGGCGGUGUUCGAUGACCUCGCGCUCGUGGAGGCGGAGGACGCGUACGAGGACGAGAUGGAGGAGGAGGGCGAGGGGGACGAGCAGCAUGAGCACGGCAGCGACGGGGAAGUCGUCCCGAUGGACAUCGAGGACCUGGAGGAGGCGCAUCUCUCCUGCGGCUGCGGCCGCAACCUGCUCACCCUGUGCUUCCGGGGCGUUGUGCACAUCUUCAUGUCCGCCUCCCCUGACAAGGUGUCGGAGGUGGAAGCUGCACUUUCGCUGCAGGGGCGAUUGGAUCCGGCGGACUCUACCACUGUGCCGCCCGCCGCGCGCAACACGCUCACCAUGAUCUUCCGGGGCCAGGAGUGCAGUUUCGACUCUGUAACCCCUGAUGAGGUGCAAGAUGUACUUUUGUCGCUCGCGGGAAGGGAGCUGAUGGUCCCUAGGAUUGAGCUCAAAAUGGAGUUCCUGCACGGGAGCUACGACUUCGACUCUGUAUCCCCUGAUAAGUUGCAAGCUGCACUUCCGCUGCUGGGGGGAAUGGAUCUGACGGUCUCUACGGCUCUGCCAUGUGCCAACAACCAGCUCACUGAACCCUUGAUAUGCUGGAUCGACGUGUUCGACCCUGUAUUCCCUGAUAAGAUGCAAGCUUUACUUUCGCUGCUCGGGGGAGACGAGCUCAACCCAGGCAUUGGUGGUGGAGCAUCACCAUCAAUUCCAUACAGACUAUUUUUACAGUCUAUAAACCAUGUUUGGUAAGAUUAUGUGCUGGAUGAUUCACAUGCGGCAGAGGUCGAAUUUACCCUGCUUCAGAGGUUGAAUUUUCCACAGUGGUGGCACCAUUGAUGAGAUUUAGGGAGAAGCUGAAAAAGCAGGACUUUGUUAAGAAGAUCUGUUAUACUACUGUUUGGAAGAAACUUGCACUAAGGAUGCAGCGCAGUAGAUGCCAAUUUACAUCUUCAAGGCCAAAACCUGAUAAAUCAGCAUCCAAGUUGGUAACUCCAGAUGGCUCCGCAAAUAGGGAAUUAGUGGAGGCUCGAUGUCUGUCUGCUGCCGAGUAAGGAUGCAGCGCAAUAGAGACCAAUACAUCUUCAAGACCAAGACCUUAUGAAGCAACAUCAGAACUUGGCAACUCAAAUAAGGGAUUAGUGGAGGGUCGACCUCCGUUGGGUAAGUAUUUUUUUGGCCUCGAACUCUUCCAAAAGUGAAGAAAUCGUCCCUCAACUUCAAAACCACCAAAAUUCAGUCCCUCAACUAUUUAAACCGGAUACUUUUCGUCCCUAAUAACGUUUAAGGUGGUUUUACUGUGACGUGGACCCUGUUUUGACUAAAACGGGCCACGUGGGCUGGUUUUGACCUCCAGGUCAAUCAAGUGACUAAGGGCACCCGCUGGCUCUCUCUCUCGCUUUCGCAUUCUCUCGAUCCCUUUUCCCAUUCACGAACCCUAAAUAGAGCGGUGGCGGCGGGCUGUGAGGCGUGGCUACGGCGGCGUGGCCUGCCAGUGAUUGAGGCGCGGUGGUUGCUGGCUGAGCACGGUGGCUGUGGUGGUGGCUGCUAGGGCAUGACGGCAGCGACCUUGAGCACGACCAGUUCUGGGCGGCGGCGGCGAUUUAGGCAGCGGCUGCGGUGGUGAUUCCCUCAUGGGCGGCGGUGAUUGAGGCCCGCGGUUGCUGGUUGAGCAUGGUGGCGGCUGCGCUGUGAAAUCCAGUUCAUCCUUUACUGUCAAUGUUACCUCCGGCCCGGCAAGUUCCCAAGUUGGCGGAAAUUAAAGAGCAAAGAAAGUGCCAGCAAAACUACCAGACUAGUGCUUGUUUGCUGUUGUCUGUUCUUAUGUCAGACCAUGUGAGAAUUCAUGUUUGUCAUUGAUUCUAAGCUAUAUUCAGUACUAUUUCCCUUUCCCAUUUAGUACUUUGUCAGACUAUGUUAAACUAAAUUGGGUCGAGAAUGUGUUCAGACUAUUUUCAAUUAAAUUGUGUUCAGACUAUGUUCAGCUAAAUUCAGUACAAUGCUCUGAAAUGUCCAAACUAUUUUCAGUUAUAUUCAGAUUUUGAUAAGCUAUAUUCAGUGCAAACACUUUCCUUUUCUCUUGGUUCUCACUUGUACACACGCGCACACACACUCAUGCACAAACACUUAAUUGAUGUGGCAGUCAAAACCAGUGUAUGUGGCCCGUUUCAGUCAAAACAGGGUCCACGUCAAAAUAAAACCACCUCAAGUGUUAUGACGAACGAAAAGUAUCCGGUUUAAAUGGUUGAGGGACGAAAAGUAUCUGGUUUAAAUAGUUGAGGGACUGACUUUGGGUGGUUUUGGAGUUGAGGGAUGAUUUCUCAACUUUCAAAAGACUUCCGAGGAUGAAAAAUUUACUUAUCCCACCUCUGUCUGCUGCUGAGUGCUGAGUAAGUUAAUAGAGGCCAAUGUACUUUGCUGCUAUUGGUUUAUAUGUAUUUGAAUUUUCCAGCAACAUUUUAGAUGCUUUCUGUGGGAUUUGGCAGCUAUGCGUUGAGCCGUUGAGAAUCAUUGCUAUGCUUGAAAUAAUUGAUCUAGUAUGUCAUAGUAGGUGCCACAAAAGAAACACGAUUCUUGCAAAUACUUAGUGCAGUUGGCGUCUACACAUCAUCAUAGUAUAUAGUUAGCUUUUUUUAGUCUAGCUUGUCUCUUUCCUGGGAUAUUCAGUUUUGUUUACUUUGUUAGUUGUGCAAGCAGGAUUGAUAUGGACUGAAGGCAUUAUCUGAUACCUAGCAUACAUGGAGAGAUGCUUCUUUCCAUAUGAUAUUGUUAUUGCUAGUUCUUACCUUUUUGGUUUCUUAAGCCUCAUCCCAAAUCCAGAAGCCUGAGAACUGUGGUACACAGAUUUUAAGGGUGAGUAUCAGGAGGGAGUGGCUUGCUCAUUAAUAAAUUCGGAUGUCCUUGGCACCCUCGUCUCCAUGGGAGAUGUAAAGUUAUCUUGGUCAUGAUCAUCUUAAUGAUUUCCCGGGUUCCUAGUUUUUUCUUAUUCCUAUGAAUCAAACACCCAACUCUACAAAAUUCAUGUGUUUUGUGAUUCUUUAUUUUGCGCAUGCUUUCGUAUCCUAUUUUUUUGGUUUCCUGUUCUUAAGUUUUUUGAGUCCUGCGAACCAAGAGGCCCUUAGUGGGAUAUGGUUCUGUUCUGGUGGUGGCUUUGGUUACCAUGUGCCUAUGGAAGACCUCAUUGGGCGAGGAGAGCUUGGGAAAUUUAUAUCAUGUGCCUAUUGAAGGCCUCAUUUGCCGAUGAGUGCUCGGGAAAAUGUAUACCAAAUUCAUGAAAGGCAGAGAUCAUAGAUGGGAGUCGACUUGAUACAGACCUGGAAGUUGCUAGACGAUGAAGACCUUCCCAAAAUUGAUGAGCAGGUUCUAUGGAGACAUGGCGGGGAUGAUCCUUACCAGUGUCUACUUGUAAGCUGAGGACACAAAUCUCUCAGUAUGUUGUGAACAUAUUAUGAUACAUCAGUUUGAUUUGUCCUCUUGCUGUGGGAGUUAGGAUCAUAUUUGAUUUUCUUUCUUGAGCAAGCAGUCAGCCAAAAUCUUUUACCGCGUAUGGCCGGCUUCUUUGUGUUUCAUUACUCAUUAACGAGAUGAAACUUGUAUAUAAAAAGGUCACCUGUUUUGAAUAAAAAGACAGAAUCCCGGUAUCUUAUAUGGAGUUGCCCUGUUCAGUUAGCAGCCUUCUUUCUCUCAAGCAUAUAUGAAAGAAAGAAACCAACCACUGGGAAAAUAUAGCAUGGAGUAGCUCCAUAAGGAGUUGCCUAUUAUUCUUAUAUAACAGUUGUUUACAUGUAUUACACCAAUGAAAUUAGAUAGAAUGCUAUAGUAUUAUGCUGUUCAUCAAUAUAUGAUUAGUCCUGAACUUAUUGUGUAUGAAACUCGUGUGGAAACCUAUGCAAGCACAAACCUGCCCCCGGAACAUCCACCGGCAUGCAUGUAUAGGCUCUAGAUAAAUUGGUUUACUUUACUUGGACAAUGCAAGUUCCAGAUUAUCUUCCAGGCUUGACUCUUUGUAUUAUCUGCAUCACUUGGCUUCUACAGCUGCGCAUGAGAGGAACACAUGAGUUCACAACAACAUUGCUUACGGAAAUAUGGAAAUUAUGUCGUUCCUGGUACCGAGAAGCCAAGUAGUAUAAGAGAGACAUGAGAGGUGCCCUCCUUGUAUUAGAUUAUCAUAUCAGUAGUAACUUACGCAUGAACAAUCAUAGGUUGCCCUCUUGUAUAUUAAGUGUCUACACCACUGAAGAAUGGAGGACAUUCAGUGGGCGGCAGUUUUUGACGAUUGUUAUUUUAUGGCGUGCGAUUUUCUGCGUAUUAGUUUUGAGCAUUGUAAUAGGG